rfam:Ipomoea nil DNA, scaffold: scaffold2400, cultivar: Tokyo-kokei standard.
GGAUGCGAUCAUACCAGCACUAAUGCACCGGAUCCCAUCAGAACUCCGAAGUUAAGCGUGCUUGGCGAGAGUAGUACUAGGAUGGUGACCCCCUGGGAAGUCCUCGUGUUGCAUCCC